rnacentral:lncRNA from 1 species
GGUAGGCCUGCUUCCUGUCUGUUACCAAUCCUAUACUCAUGUCCUUUCACUUGAUGGAACUAAGUGACGGUUCAGACAAAGUCACACCGUUCAACGGACCUCAGGAGGGAAGUAAAGGAAGAGAGCAAGAAACUUGGAACUGAAAUUCUAUUGGAAGAAGUUGAAGAAACUCACAGGGCUACAGGGGGAACCUAUUGAAGAACCCCCUGCAAGUUUUCCCAGAAUCUUAUGAGAUGCCUGAAGAUGACCCAAAGCCACAGGGAGGACCCCAUCUGAAAGACAUAGCUCCCUCCUGUGUCUCUGUGCCCUUGGUACCCGAGAACAGAACACAGAUUCCCUAUGUGGUUCUCCAGCUAAGCACAUCAACUAGAUGAUAACAAAGACAACACAAGGUGAAACCAAACCAAACCAAUGUUUACCAAGUAAACAAAACUGGAAAAAAUGUAAUGAAUUUUAGGAGAUGCUAUAUGUAGUGAUUGUAAUUGAAAUGGAAACUAUAAAAUGUAAGUUGUAUUGUCCUGUAACUCGGAUGGGACACUGUCUCUGAAGGCAUUAAUCAACUCUUCAAAGUCUAGCAUGGUGCUAUCUUACUGUCAGUAUCCACAAUAUCUCAAGAACAUUAAUUUAUGCCAUUUCAUGUAAACCAUUUUCAGGGAAUC